UUAUUCUGUUUAUUUUGGGAUGAGCUAUUACUUUAUGCUUUAAUGUUGAAUGCUCUGUGUUUUUGAUCAGCUGUUGAGAAUAACUCCGGCCGAGAGGAGCCGAGAAUACGUGCUUCUGUCCUUUCAGGAGCACCAGAGCUGUGAGUGCAGGCCCAGACGACACCACCUGAGACAUCAGCACAGAAGGAGGCGGAAGGGCAAACGCAGGAGGAGACGGAGAGGGAGGACAGACGGGGAUUGAGACGCUGCCGGGGGUCAGGUGACUCUCUGCUGCCCCCUGCAGAGACACACUCACAUCACCGCUGCUCAUGUGUGUCUCUGCAGUUUGUUUUUACUAGCACAUGAAACCCCUGCAGUGCGCCAUCUAUUUAUAUCAACUGUAAAUUAU